rnacentral:rRNA from 1 species
UACAGAGGUCUCAAGCGUUGUUCGGAUUCAUUGGGCGUAAAGGGCUCGUAGGCGGUUUGUCGCGUCGGGAGUGAAAACACCGGGCUUAACUCGGUGCUUGCUUUCGAUACGGGCAGACUAGAGGUAUGCAGGGGAGAACGGAAUUCCUGGUGUAGCGGUGAAAUGCGUAGAUAUCAGGAGGAACACCGGUGGCGAAGGCGGCUACCUGGACAGAAACUGACGCUGAGGCGCGAAAGCUAGGGGAGCAAACGGG